CAGUCGCCACGGUAAUACGAGGGGGGCAAGCGUUGUUCGGAAUUAUUGGGCGUAAAGGGUGCGUAGGCGGUCUGAUAAGUCUGAUGUGAAAUCUAUGGGCUCAACCCCUAGUCUGCAUUAGAAACUGUCGGGCUUGAGUAUGGGAGAGGUGAGUGGAAUUUCCGGUGUAGCGGUGAAAUGCGUAGAUAUCGGAAGGAACACCUGUGGCGAAAGCGGCUCACUGGACCAUUACUGACGCUGAUGCACGAAAGCUAGGGGAGCAAACAGGAUUAGAUACCCCAGUAGUCCCUGUCUCUUAUAC
rnacentral:rRNA from 1 species